rnacentral:rRNA from 1 species
GCAGCAGCCGCGGUAAUACGUAGGUGGCRAGCGUUGUCCGGAAUUAUUGGGCGUAAAGCGCGCGCAGGCGGUUCCUUAAGUYUGAUGUGAAAGCCCACGGCUCAACCGUGGAGGGUCAUUGGAAACUGGGGGACUUGAGUGCAGAAGAGGAGAGCGGAAUUCCACGUGUAGCGGUGAAAUGCGUAGAGAUGUGGAGGAACACCAGUGGCGAAGGCGGCUCUCUGGUCUGUAACUGACGCUGAGGCGCGAAAGCGUGGGGAGCMAACAGGAUUAGAUACCCUGGUAGUYCAMGCCGUAAACGRWGAGUGCUAAGUGUUAGAGGGUAUCCACCCUUUAGUGCUGUAGCUAACGCAUUAAGCAUUCCGCYUGGGGAGU